UCAGUGCUGUAAUCCCAAACAGCAGCUUCCUCCUGAAUAGCUCUCAUACUCUCCAUGUGAGGGGAGGCUGUAAGUGCUCUCUAGUGCAUGAUGUAAAGCUGACUUUGACCUUUGACUUCUCAGUAAAGAGGCAGCACAAAUCAAGAGGGGAUAUUUUUCUGUUUGAAUAUUUCAAAAUGACGUUAGAGUGAGCUCGGGCUGAACCUGUGAGGAGAUAAGGGGUUAAUCCCGGAGGUUGUGCUCAGGUUUCAGCAGCUUUGAUCUCUCUUGACAUCGACUUUUGCAGCAGUUAUUUUUCUGAUACAGGUGAGACGCAUCAAAAGGUUUCUGUUGGCACCCACUUGUAUCCUUCCUCACGUUCUUUGUGAGUUAGGUAACCGUCAGGACACAUUCAGGCUUGAUGGGCAGAACUGAGCUUGUCUAUCCUUUUUGGUUUUGUCUGCUGCAUAACUUCCUCAAGGCAUCGAGAGUACAGCACAGAAAACAGCUUCAACUGCUCAUUUAGUAAGAAUGCAAACAAGGGAGACAGACCAUACUUAGACUUGAUGAUGUUUUAGCUUCUCUAACAAAUCCUAAAGCACAAAAUAUGAACAGGUAAAACUUCCACAGAUAAUAUUGUUACUUUACUGGCAUUAUUUUCCUUUCAAAGAGCAGCAUUUCCUCAUUUCUAAGGGCCUGUUUCCAUUACCUGCUUUUUUGUGCUGGCAGCCAAGAGCUCUUCUCACAUACUGUACUGUUGCUAAGUUAGACUAGUUUUCCCACACUACUUCUGUUACCCCGUCAUCUCUAUUCCAAAGUUGUUUUCUUUUUUGCUUCAUAUUUGUUUAAAUUUAACAGCAAAGUAUAUAAAUAGAUAAUUGUACUGCAGCUCUAUAUUUGGAAUUAUCUAAUACCCUCAAAAACACUUGGAUUGGUUUCUCCUCUGCAGCUCAUGUUAACAGAUUUAAUAGCAAAAGUCCCACCCUUUCUUAAUUUUGGUAAGUCGGAGGUAAAGUAGUAAUAUUGACAAGUUAAAUGUUCUGAAAAGUUGAAUUAUGUUGAGGUACAGUGGGGAAAAAGCAGCUGAUGUCAGGAAACACUGAACUGAUUGGUUUGUACAGUAAACGGGUGCUGUUAGUGGACACAGGCCCUAACUCAUAGACUACAGCAGCUUUAUUAGUGGCUCAGCACUUCAAUAGAUGAAGCUGUAGGUCUAUGGUUCCAUUUCUGUGUACUGUCCUCCAGCUACAUGUUGUUGUUACGUGACCUUGAGGAAAUUUUAUGUAAAGUCUUCACAGAUCUAUGGAUGUUUCAAAGUACCAAAAGACCAGAGUUUGAAGAUCUAUGUGAAAGUUAUCCAUUUUUAUGUUCUGGUUUGCUUUUGUGGGUCAUAAAGUACAAUCAUUUAAAAUUUCAGUUUGUUUCUUGGCCAACUAAAAACUCCUGAGAGGAGCUUUAAGUGCAUGUGCUGCUAUUAAAAUAUACCAAAGCCAUUUACCUCCCCGUUUUCUGUUCUGACAUCUAAAUAUGAACCGACUAUGUAGGACUGGGCGAUAUGGCCUCAAAUCAAUAUCUCGAUAUAUUGAUCAGUUCACCUCGAUAACGAUAAAUAGAAAAUAACUACUCCACAAGCUGCUCACCCUCUCCCACAUUAACUUCGUCUACUUCAGCCACUACAACUUUUGAACCGUCCUCCAUCUCCUCACCUGUCUUUCACUCUUUGUUAUGGACUGGAUGAGGUGGAGUCACGUCUCUGAUGUAGGACAGUGUCUUAAAGGGACAUGAAACCAUAGCCUACUUACACACAUCCAAAACCAACUUUUAUUUAUUUUUUUGACACUGAAUUUACCGACAUGGGCAAAAUGACGUUGGUUAUUGACGUAAAUUUCAGUAUCAGUAAAUUUUUGGUUUAUCGCCCAGCCCUAUGACUAUGACUGUUUCACAAUUCUUACCAUGUUUUUAUGAUUAUUUCAUAUCUACAACCUUUAAAAUCUGAGGCUUUGCUUGGCAGUCUUUAUGUAGAAAGCAUAACUGAACCUGUAUUAGUGUAUUAAAUGGUCAUUUAUUGAAGUCCUACCAGAUUGUACAGAUUUUCUUAAUCUUAAAAACCCUGCACUUAAAAAAAGGUGUAACUACAAGGGUAUCUGGAUCAUCAAUCAAGAAUUCUCUGUUACUACUCUUGGCCUGUUUUUAGCACAUGACAUAUUUGAGCAGUUGAUUAUGAUAACUUGAAAAGUUUAAAGUGAAACUUCACCAUGUAAUCUCAACAUGAAACUUUAAAUAAAGCAAUGUAAACAGUCAGUAAACCUUUAAAUAAGUCCCCCAGAAUAAACAGUGUGAAAUUUACAGCACUUAAGUUUUCUCGUAUGGACAAAAAUAUAAAGAGUAUAAAUAUUGUGAAUAACUAAGCUCUGUGGUUGUGCUCUAAUGAAGCUUAAAGGGUUAAUAGAUGAUUUAAUGUGAUUUAAUGGCCAUUCCUGACCACUGCCUGUGUUUUCACUUUCACGUGUGAUUAGGAUAAUUGGAUUCAAAUGGAAAUUUGUUUCAAAAGGUAAAGGUUUUGGUCGAAACUGCACAUGAAAUAAAAACAAAUAUCUGACCUACACAAAUAAGACCCCGGCUGUUAAAGCGAAACUUUCCAUAAUGAUGUGUUUGCGCUCCUUUUCACUAUUUAAGUUCUUGAUUGCAAAAGCAUUUGCAAAAGUUUCCUCUUUCUAAAUAGAUCUCACUCAUCUUGACAAAUUGCUUCACAUGUUGAUCUGGAGCCCAGAUCUGCAGAAAGUGUGACCUCAGCCGGCUCCUGCGCUGACUGGGUCAUGUGUUUCCCUACCAGCCAUCCAGACAGACAGACAGUCAGACGGCGCUGUGAGGCCUGUUACAACACCCGGGCGUCCCUGAAAACAGGCAAACAGGCGACUAUUGAGCCAACCUGCACACUUUCCACACUGUCACGGACUGAUUCAUGUCAAAGUGGGGCUCUCGCUCCAUGAUUGGACUCAAUUAAAGCCACUGAGGCGUGAAUGUAAAGGCCCAGGAGUAUGGAAACCCCAUGAUACACGCACACACAUGCAUGCACACACACAGACAAACGUCAUACUUGUUGGUUUUCACUUCUUGGAGUGUGUUUGGUGAAUUGUGGCUGUACUUUGGCUCAGUCAUAUACAACACAUGCAUUAAUCUGGCAACUUUUAAUGAGUAAAUAACUUUAAUGUUUGUGUAAAUUUAGUGUGAUAAAUAAAGCAUUCAGAAACCUUCUUUAAAGAUGUUUCUCAUCCGUGCAAAUCUGCAGGAAUUUUACACCCACGUCGUGACACUCGGUUGCCCCCUUCUACCUUCUGCCGUCUCCCGGUGGUACGUCCUCUUUCAGGGAUGGUCUGUGCAGAUUAGGCACGUACAAACAUAUCACUAUCAGUAGGUGGACAGCUGUGGCGGUGAUGUGGUGCAGCUGUUGUUUAAAAGUGUGGAUGAAUGAGCGUCUUGUGCGUCAUGCAUGGAUUUUAGCUCAUAUUUCUUGAACUCUUUAUCUGAAUCUUUAACGAAAAUUGACAGUCUGCCAAUCAAAACUGUCACAAGAUGAGCUCUAAGUGGGCCAGCAAGCUCUAAGACAUACCUCUAAAUUAAACCCCUUGUACACUCGGACUUUUCCUCUUCUUCUCCAUAUUACAGGAUCCUUAUAGCAGCUAAAAUCCAUCAGCUAUGGGUAGGGCUGGGCGAUAUGGGAAAAAAUGAUAUAUAUUUUUUUCAUAUCAGUCAAUAUCGAUAAAUAUCAUGAUAUAAAAAAAUGAAAUCGAACAGUGCUUAUUGGUAGCAUGUUCGCAAUACAAUAAGCUACUGCAUCUGUGAGGUCUUUGUGUCUCUUUGAUAUUUUGUCGUAUGGUGUUGCGCUAGAGAAAGCGGGCUGAAUUGUCGGUUUUUGUCAGAACAUUACAGAACAUUAUCGCACUUCUGAAUCUCCUAACCCUAACCCGACAGACGAUGACGUUUCACAGCCAUAAGGAAUAACCAAUCGGAGCCCAGCACUUCUAGCCAAUCAGAGGCAAAGGAGGAAGGGACCUUCCCCUACCAUCAAAAAAAAAAAAGUUUGCGACCCGGAGCAACUCCUCUUUUCAUCGGCUCUUCAUAUAGUCUACCAGAACAUAGUCGAAUGACGGCUAUCAUGUUUUAUUUCGAUAAAGACGUAAAUUAAUUUUUGAUAUAUAUCAUUAUAGUUUUAUCGCCCAGCCCUACAUAUGGUCCACUCUAUGAUCCUCUUGUCGUUUGACAGUCAUUAAAAGUCGCUUACUUUUCUGUUUUUUGCUGGAGAAUAACAUCAAAUUAAUGCUGAGUGAAUCUUAUUUUAAAAUGGUUAACAUCAAACUGACUCUAAAGUGGAAAAAUUCAUAUCAAACUGCUUGUCCGUCCUCAUACGAGGGUCCCUCUUCUGUGUUUUUUUUUCCCACGGUGAUGGUUAGUUAUUAGCUCUACUGUAAAGCCCCUGCAGUUUCUCUUCCAGUGAGACACAUGAACAGGACUCUCACUGUUUCUGUGUGGCUUUUGGGAGAAUACCUCGGCCCCUCUCCCUGUAAUAAAUCCUAUCUGCUCACAAUGCGCGGCUCCAUGGAGCUGUGGGUGGAAUUAAGGCUGGUCGCGGUCACAGAGGCCGUGCAUGCUUGUGAGAGUCAACGCUUUGAAUCUGUGUUCGUGUGUGUUGUGAAUAGUUCGUAACCGUGUCAUUGUUCCUGUUUAUGUAUCCUGACUGUGUGUGUAUGAACCUGUGUGUGUAAAAGCUCUACCAAUUGUAUAGUUGUGUGUUUGUGCCACACCCAUUCCUGAAACCUUUCCAGAUAAACCCAGCGGCCUGAGUCUGUGAGAGGUGUCUCCCCUGAUAUUAUCUCCCCUCCUUUGUGCCAUCUGUUUAGACUUCCACCAAUUCGAGGCAUGCUCUGCAUUCCACCUCAUGAAGUUCAUGUCAGGUGUGUUUGCUCAUCUAACAUGGAAAGUUUACUUUGAGAGUCAGCGCUGCGGCCCCCGACUCAUUAACCUACAGAGGAGUCCGAACAUGUAUAUAAUCCUUUAAAACUGAGUUAAGACAAAUGACACGGAUCAGCUCCAGAACAUUUACUAACAAAAUAAGAUUUUUCUCCUCAAUUUUCAUCUUAUCUUGAUUUGGCCAGGUCCUGUUUCAUUACUUUACUACGACUAAAACUACAACUGAGUUUUCAAGUUGUACAGUGCACAAUUAAGGCAAGCUGUUAAUUAACAAAAGUAAGAUGAAGACGCAGAGAAGUGUGACGGCUAAAGCUACAGUAAGCAGUUUUUAUUUUGUGUUGGUUUGGGCGCCCCCCUGUGGAAACAAAGCAUCAAUGGAUAAAUCAUAUUUUCUAACAACGACAAAACUCAUCCACAGUCAAUUGUACAAAAGAGGAUUAGGGCCACAAGAAGAGAAAAAAAUAAUUACAGGAGGGAGAUUUUUUUAAUUUCCAUAUUGAGAUUAAAGUUGAAAUAAAAAAAUUUGGAGAAUAAAUAAUUUGGAGAUAAAUAAAAUCAAAAUUACUUAAAUAAAGUCCAAAUUUUGAGAUUAUAAAAGUCUUUCUCAUAAGGUCUUAUAUUUAAACAUGUUGUUUAAGAUGACAGUUGUUGAAAUGAGAGCCAUGGAGCAUUUCAUGAAAAUGUACUGUGAUAUCGGUUUCUCAAACAAGGAGAUACUUUAUCUUUUGGCACAUCAGCACCACAUUAUCAUAAGUAUCAUAAUUAUUUCAUUACAACUUUAUUCUUGUAAAUUAACAACUUUAUUCUCGAAGUCUUAAUUUAUUUUUUUAACUUAAUCUCACUCAAACACUGUCUUAACAGUUGUGCACAGAUAUGACUUGUUCACCUAAACACGAAUAAAAUCCUUCCCGCUAGAAAAUAACUUCUUAAAUUAAUAGGAAGAUGCAAUUAGAUGCAAUUUCUUGUUGGUCAGCACGAAUGAGGUGGUGCAAAUGAAGGAAAUUAUAUGCACAAAUGACAUGAAUUUGCAACAUGUUCAAUGUUUCAUUUGUGAGUGUUGAAAAGUUUGAACCAUAGACUGUAUAUACUGUGGACAACUUGGCUCCGCCUUCCACCCUUACCCCAUCUCCUAAGAGCUAGCGGUAAUCGCUUUGCUUCUUCUAUAAAGGCUGACAAAAAUGUUUUAGCAAUUAAGAUGAUAAAAUUUACUUCUAGAUGACAUAAAAAGGUAAACAUGGCCAUUUAGUCUGUUAUAAUAGUUUGACAUGACUAAUAUCGUCAUCAGGGGUUAGAUGAAUCAGCCGGAGGCUCCAUGCCAGCACACUGGAAAAACACUGUUUUCAACAUUUCACAAAAACAACCCCAGUGGAUAGAAAAUCCUGAACUCUGUGUUUAAUUCAGUCUAUUCCACGCUGUGACAUGUGUGAAUAAUCUGAUUUUUUUUUUUUUUUGGCUCUUUGGUAUGAACAAAGUGAACCACAUUACAUGUGCCCAAACUUUCUCUGCCAGCCCUUUUUCCACAGCAUGGUCGGUUGUGGUAUGACUUCCUCUAAGCUGGUUUUCCAACCACUAUUUAAUGCCAGAAGACGGGGAAGUCCACUCCCUUUUCACUGUAAGGGAACUAAAGCUACAUUUGCACAUGUUUCAGGGGGGAAAUUUAGCUAAUUUGGGAACACUGCAGAAAAGAAAGUGGACCUCAAGAACUCACAAAGCAACCUCCUUAAAAAAAAAAGCUUCUAAUAGUUCAGAUUUAUUCCAAAUUUUUGAAAUGAUGACUGAUUGUUUGGACAAAAAGCAAAUUUUUAACUCAUAGUAGAAGAAAGGCGAUUCUUUAACUUUCCAGUCCUUGACAUUUAUGCAUAAAAGCAAAGCAGAGCCAGCAAUGGAAACCUCCAAAUUGACUCCAGACUUGGGAAUCGUCUAGCAGUGGAGGAACGUUUGGAGAAAGAGCAGGUCAGUCAGGGACAACAGGCCUCACUUUGAUCAUGGAGGAGAAGAUUAACCCCAUAAGUGAAUUAAUUAGAAACCAGGACUGAUCUGGGCCGGGUGCCAGCCUCCCUACUGACAAGAGAAAGAGAGAGAGAGACGACAAAGACCACAUUGGUUCGCCCACAUCUAACGCAGGUCUUGUGAGAUGAUCAAAACAGAUAAAUUGAUCACUUUGGGUGGCUUAUCAUGGCCCCUUUGGACACACCCCUCAGUUUUGGGACUUGGUUGGAGUACGCAUUAUGAAACCAAGAUAUGAUCUGCCGCAGAUCCUAUCUUCUCUGGAUUUUACUUGAGGGGAAAUCCUGAAAACAAGAAAAAGAUGAGUCUGACUCUAACUGAAUGAACCACAUAACCUUGCAGUGAAGGAGCAAGAAAACCUGCAGGACUUCAACCAUGUUGUAAGGACACACAUUAGUCGACGAUGACUGUUUUCCUGGCUUUCCAUGACACAGCUCCCCCUGUCAGACACACAGAGUCGUUGACGCCCUCUGGGAUCAGUCCCCUCAGCGUGUCUUGAUAUUUCCCCCCUUGAUUAACUAAUUUAAGAGAAUCCACCGGGUUAGUCCUUUCCAAGCUUUUCUACUGUAUCUCCACCUCUUUUCUUCUCCAGCGGGGACAAUAGACGGAAGCAGCCAGCUGAGGCCUAUUAGGGUAACAGGAGAACGCUCUCUGGGGUAUCGUUUUCACAUGCAGGGCUCCAAAACAUGCCGUCAUAUCCUUACUGCUACCAGACGGCGUACAAUGCUCUGACACAGGGCGCUGUGAGCCAAAGGAAAAGGGCGUGUGUCGGCACGACCGGGCGCACGGACAGAUUUACACACAUCAACUGAAGCCCCAUUAGCAAGUCAACGUUCCACUAACAGUCUGAGGAAAUCCCUGCUCCUAACCCCUACGUGUCCAGCUUCAGAAAAUCUGUUACAACACGGCUCGCUCGCCCAUCUGGACUGCACCACGUGGCUGCAGGGGUGUCCUCAGACAUGCAGGGGAUGCUGACGUUCCCGUUUGUCAAACAGCGUGCCUCUGCCGGAUUUUUCUUUCCACGGGUUUUCCCUUCUUACAUCAUCUGCUGUCACUCAUCUGAAGUCUAUUGUGUGGACGUGUGUGAGGCCUUCUGAAUGAGUGUCUUUGUGCGCAUCUGGGUGAGAGUGUGUGUGUGAAUGUUAGCGUGUGUGUGUGUUUGCGGUGAGAGGCUUUGGAAGGAAUGUCUCGGGAUGAUAGGGUUUCCCUGUCAGGCUUUUGACAAACUCCCUACAUCCUACGGAAUUCCCUCACAUGUGGCGGACGACAACGCCAGUCUUUCCUGACCCGUGCCUUUUUCCUGUUGAAGUCCUGAUAUACAGGUCCUGCAUUCUUUCCACCUGGUCGGACUGUGAGCUUGACCAAAAUUUAAGAAAAUCCUCAUUUAGUGUGUUGUCUGAAAAGUCUGGACGAUAUUAAUCUUUGAAUCCGCAGUUGAUGGAAAAUGUUUGACUCUUUCUUAAAGCUGCAGUGUGCAGUUUUUAGCCGCGUUUGGCAGAAUGGACCAGCCAGAACUCGAAUAUUCAUGAGUAUAUUUAAGUUGGUGCAUAACCACCUGAAUAUGCAAAAACAUUUUGUCAACUUAGAACAAACCUUUAUAGCUACAUAAGGAGCAAGUCCUCUUCUACAUCUACAGUAGCCCAGAGUGGACAAAUCAGACAAAAUUUAUGACAAAAUUUGGCCUUGUCAUGUACACAGAAGCUUUAUGUCCUUGAAGGCCACUGUUGCUUCAUCAAUAGGACGUGAGCAAGGCAACAAUUCAAGAUAUCCUCAUUCCUACACACUCUACUUUUUAGAUAAUUAAAUUUUUAGAGCUUUAUUCCACUUUGUUGUUGCAAUGACAGAGCUGUCUGUCUGUUUCAGUUUUGCAGAGGUCAGAUGUGGGAAUUUUUUGUCUAUUUUGACGGUCACUUCGCCAAAAAAGAACGUUUCAAUCUUCCAGACUGUCUUUUCUAAAAUCGAUAAGAUUAAAACACCACUUUUACAUAAGGAUGUCCCAAUUCUGACAUUGACAUCAGAUAUUGGUCCAAUAUCAUCCCAAAAACAAAUACCAGAUUAUAUCGGUCUAGAUCUAAAAUCUCCGAUAUCAGCACUCCGAUACAAGCAGUCCAUUCCAGACUCCGCUCCAGCACCUGGAUCCAGCAUGCAGAGCUUACGUGAUCACAACAACAGGGUGUAAUAAGGUACUAAAAGAUAGAUGUCAUGCACAAGUUUGUGCCAAUAUCGGAUCAAUAUCGGUAUCAGCCAGUACUGAAGGCUGCAAUAUUGGUAUUGUAUCGGAAGUCAAAAAGUUGUAUCCGGACACUCCUACUACAGGUUAUUGUGAUAAUUAUGGAAAAGUUGAAAAUGAAGAAACACAAUUAGUCAAAUUGAGGAAAGGCGAGAUGAGGUCGGUGCAACACAUCACUUCAUCAACUUAAUUACAUGUCAUCCAAUUCUAAUGGUGUUCAGAGUUAUAUGGUUUAUCCACAUCACACAGAAACUUCACUGAAGAAGACACUGGCUUGUGAGAAAAGUUUUUUUAAUGCUUCUAUUUUGAUAUUUUUAUUUCUUGUUUUCAGAUUUCCAUGCUUUUAUUUUGAUGUUUACUUUUUCCAGCAGCUCGUAAGUUAUGAAACUGGAUGAAAACAGUAAAAAACACAGUCACAAAGACACUAAAUCUCUAAUAUUUUUUUAGAUUCACAAUAAAAUCUUUAAAUGUCAGCUUUUAAAAGUGUUAAAUCCUCUCUUACAGAGCUGCUAAGGCUACCUCCCUACCAGCUGCUGCUUCUUCUUUGUCUUGCCUUUGCUUUGUGACAUAUGUCAACUAGCACUCACAGAGAUAUCAAUAUUUCUUUUCUUUUUUUUUAAGAUUGUUUUCAUGCAUCAUCAGAGAUAUCAUUAUUUCAUUUUUGUAAAAGAUUGUUGAGUUAUUUUUAUCUUUAUCUAAAUAAAUUAAAGCUUUGAAUAUGUUUUCUGGAGUACAACCUUUAUGUCAAAUCAGGAUUUGCACGUCUUAAGAUUUCCUGACAAGGACACAAAAAGUCUAUUUUUUAACUCUGGCUCGUCUCCAAACCGCUGCUUUCAUACUGGUCUUUCGUUGGUCUACAACUGUCACAUCAUUUUUCCGACAAACCUCGUCUCUUUGUAAUAAACCGCUUUUAAAAAUACAGUUUAGGCCAGUUUAAACCAGGCGUAUAAAACCGGGCUUGUCAUUUUCUCUCUCUCUGUGGAACACUUUUUUCCUUCUGAUGUCUUAUUUUGGAACAGAACUUUUCCCGUCUGGCGUGAGUCGGCCAUGUUGUCCCUGGGCCCCGUACAGUAUCCAAACCCACAGAACCAGCAGAGAGGGAGGUAGGAGGGAGGGAAAGAGUUCCAUACUUAUGUAACCUGUUGUCAAGGCAACCUGGUUUUGUCAUAGCAACUUACCGCCAACAGUUACAACCAGAGGAAAAAGGAGGAAACUCUCGUGUUGACAGACGGGAUCCUUAGCUGAGUACUCAUGGCAGAGGAGGUUCGUCAUCUGCUGAGUAUUCUGACUGCUGCUUUGUGGUUGAACAGUGAUUGUAUAAAUAUGUGAGUGGGAGAGUGCUUAGGGGUGUGGGCAUAGCUUGAUGUCUUAUUUUUUUAUUGAAUGAAAAAGCUUUUGCCUUUUGUUUUUGGAGUAAAUGUUUGUCCGUCCACGUGCAAACCGACAGUAUCAGUCGCUUGUGCCUUUAUGUGUGUGAGAGGUUAUAAAAACUGAGGUUGGAUUAAGUCUGGCCUUGUGGUUCCAUGGCGUGCUGAGUGAGGAAACCCAGUUGGCAUCGGGGAGGCAAGAAAUGCCAAAGAUGGCCGCUGCUGGAUGCCUGGUUUCCAGGCACUUCCAGUAAUCUGCAGCCUCCCCAGCUCAGACGGAGUCACAAUAUUUCAAUCCUCGCCGCCAGAACUCGAUUGGAUCAUUCAAUCCAAAAAAACACAGUAUUUCUCUUUUUCCUCAUGCAUGAAUCCAAAGUUAUUUAAAAUCAAGGCCAAGAUGUAAGCAAACUUGCAGACUUUGAUGCCUUUUCUUGAGAAAAAUGAUAAUAAAAACAUGCAAUUAGGAUUUGUCAAACAAUACAAUCUGAAAGUAUACGGUAAAGUCUCUGUUUCGUAUGGUUCCUAAGGUUUCUCUCUGUUUUGAGGGAAGUUGGUGUGUGCUUAACGCUGAGGAAACACAUACUGUACCGGCCAGAUAUGCAAAAAGGAAGAAGGGAACUCUGUUUUUCUAAGGCAAGACUGAGUCACCAUGAAUGAAGGAACACCAGGGAGGAAAAAUGCAACCCUUACCUCACUGAUGAGGACUAAACAGAGAGCUAGGGGCACAGAAAGACCAAGAAGAGAGACUUUACAGACGCUAGAAACUGAUACAAAAGGAUCCGCGUCAAGGACAGAUGAGGUAAAGGGCAGCAAAAAAGAAUAAAAAGGAAAAAAAGGACCUUUCAGACAAUCAUCCAGUGAUGUCAUUGUAACCGUAGUUUACUCACUUCUAGUUCUGCAUUCUGGCAGUCACCAUCUUGGUUUUCUGGCGCCACAUCCAGCCUUAUUUGUAGGUAGUGACUGGAACAAGUAAAUCAAAUGCAUGCAGCUCAAGGUAGAGGGAAAGUUUUCACGAUGGCGAUAAACUUUAUAGGGGAUAGAUGGGGCGAUGAAAGGAUGCAGAGGAAA